GUGGGGAAUAUUGGACAAUGGGCGAAAGCCUGAUCCAGCCAUGCCGCGUGUGUGAAGAAGGCCUUUUGGUUGUAAAGCACUUUAAGCGAGGAGGAGGCUACCGAGAUUAAUACUCUAGGAUAGUGGACGUUACUCGCAGAAUAAGCACCGGCUAACUCUGUGCCAGCAGCCGCGGUAAUACAGAGGGUGCGAGCGUUAAUCGGAUUUACUGGGCGUAAAGCGUGCGUAGGCGGCUUCUUAAGUCGGAUGUGAAAUCCCUGAGCUUAACUUAGGAAUUGCAUUCGAUACUGGGAAGCUAGAGUAUGGGAGAGGAUGGUAGAAUUCCAGGUGUAGCGGUGAAAUGCGUAGAGAUCUGGAGGAAUACCGAUGGCGAAGGCAGCCAUCUGGCCUAAUACUGACGCUGAGGUACGAAAGCAUGGGGAGCAAACAGGAUUAGAUACCCGUUAGUCC
rnacentral:rRNA from 1 species